GAUAUGUGUACUUCAGGCUACACUGAAUUUCAUUGUCAGGACAUUCUCAGCUUGGUUUAGGCAUCACUACCGGGCCUUUGAACUGCGACCAUGUCCAGCUGGCAAAAUGUCCCUGAUAACACAUGACGAACUGGCAGAGAAGUACCCAUUACAUGACUACUUCAUUGGACUCCUUCGACUGGUUACGUUUAAAAGAUAUCCUUAUAUUAAAAGCACGUGUUGAAUAUGUGAGUAGACAGCUGUAAUUGAUAGCUUACUAAAUGUGCACUUUAUUCUCACUAGGAUGAGCACCUAAUACUAACUUAACACCUGUCACCUAUGUCCACUUGGCUGUAUAGUGACGUGUUUCUGUGCAUGCACUAACUCCUUGUCACUGGUUGAAUCUGACAGUCUAUUAGGUACAUCUGUACAAUUUUUAAGACAAUGAAGCUUUUAAUAUAAAUGUUUUGUUGGCAUUCAGUCUGAGAUGUGUAUAUGUAAACUACUGAGGUCAUAGUUAGCAUUAGAAUUGGUUAUGAUCAAAGCCAGGUGUUGACUUUCCAAUUUUAAUGCUUUUAAUUUAUACAUAUUUAAUGGCUUUAUACUUGUAUUUUUGUCUUUUCUAGACUGAAGCAUUUGAAUGAUGGCUACACCAGUAAAACUGCGGAUUAUCCUUGGUGCCAACAAUGCUGAAAAACUGACCAUAGAAUCAGGCAUGCCAAAGUCUGUGGAGGAUCUUUCAAACGAGAUCAAACGUCAGUUUGAUAUAGAGGGGGACAUUAGACUCCAGUACAUGGACAGUGACUUUGAUAAUGAGUUUGUUAACCUUAACCAAAUUAGCGAUAUUCAAGACAAGAGCACAGUGAAAAUCAUCUGCUUGUCAGAUGCUCCAGACCUCAACCAAAGCAACAUGAACCAGAGUGGGGAAGAAACAUCUUUGUCAUCUUCUGACACAAUGUUACUCUCCUCCCCUGAUUCAGAAACUGCUCGAUCACAGUGGCCCACAGAAUUCCAAAUACCAAAGUUUCCAUAUGAUGUGGAGGUGCAACUUCAAAGUGCAAACCAGGCCUUCAUAUCAAGUGGAGUUAUUCUGAACCCCAGUCACAAACUUAAAUCGGACAUCUUGGAAAGUCUGGCUGAGCAAAUCAUUAAGUUCAAGGCAUAUCCUUCAAACUUGGAAAUAGAAUAUGUUGCUGAAGCUUUAAUCAAAGCACAUCCAUGUUUGAGAGAACAAGGGUCUUUCAGUGGUUUCUACGGAUGGAAAAUAAGCCUCAAGUACAAGAUGGCAAACUAUAGGACAAAGCUUAGAAACUUGGGGUGCCCAGAAUUGAGCAUUGAUUCCCUCAAGCACAAACCUGCAGAGAGAUGUAAGCCUGAAAGGCAGAGGUAAAUUUUUGUCCUCCCUAUCCUGCUGGAGAGACCCAGGACAGUCUCAAAGGUGAAAGAUUGGCAUUGUUAUCUGAGGUCAAGAAGAGACAUAAUGAUAAAGUUGUCAAAGAGAAGACCUUUGCAUACAGGAUGCAGGAGGUCGUCAGAGACAAGCCCAUGAUUGCCGAGUUCAAGAUCAGAUGGCCAGGACUGUUCAUUGUGGCAGAGGUGGAAGCAGAAUUUGUGAGGAUUACUACUGCUCCCCUUGUCUCAAAGUUCCUUGCACAACUUGACCAACACACUGCCCAGCUCAUCAAAGUGUUGACGAAGAAAGGAGGCUCUGCAGAGAGGAAAAUUACAACAAUUUUGGCCCAAAUUGCACAGUCACCUCACAAUUUAACCCAAUAAGACCGGAUGCUACAUUUGCGUAUAUCUGUUUAAGACCGGGUGCGACGUUUGCAUGCUUCUCUCUUUAGAGCUGGAUGCGACAAUGAAACUGUUGAAAAGAGAAGGGAGUGCAUCCUCAGGGCACUUUGUAUCUACUUGAAUGAAGACCCGAACAUCCUCUUCAAAGAAUACCUGGAUUCCGAUGCUACAGCUGUUGCAAGGGAGCUUGAACAAGUUAUCCUUGGCAUCUACAGCAUCAAUGUUGAGGGAGGUGAUACCACCACUCCUCCAGCCGAUGUUGGAAUAGUGAUCGAGGGUGUUGAAGUUCUGCAUGACUUGGGAGACAUCGCCUCUGCAUGUGCACUCUUAAUGGGUGUAAUAUAUGCACUGAACCUCAGUUAUCCUCAGGAACUGAAAGCCUUCUUUGAAGUACUUCAGAAGCUCUUCCUGCAAUUGGAUGCUUGCAGACUAUCAACCAAGGUACAGAUGCUCAAGAACAAACUGUAUGAAUGAGCCAACCAUUUGAUUUGGAUGCUGAAUGUUCUGUGGAAUAGGCAAAAUUAUAUUUUGGGCCAAAACUGAAUAAAAUGAUUGCCAAUUAUUUGCUGUUUGAAAAUAGCAGAGCAGGGAAAAACUACACGUCAGAAAAAUAACCAAUGAUUUGGCAAACUUUUGGCAAACUACUACCAUAAGUGAAAAGUGGUAGUCUAGUGGUACUACUAAGUGAAAGGAUGUGGAAUUGAGAGACCAUGCAGCACCAAAAUUGUUAACUGAAUGUAUAUUUUGCGGACUUUUUAACACCAAGCUGCACCAAAAACAACUGCAAGGAAGUUGGAUUGUCAGACCGUCUUGCAUAUACUGGCAACUUAAAAAACAAACACUACUUUAACAGAAUGCUGCAACACGAGUUGACAUGUUUGUUAAAAUGUUUGCAUCUCAGGUUUUUUCCCCCCACAAUGCUAAAAUAAAUGUUGACAAGUGUGUUGUUAGAUGGUUAGACCAUUAUGCUGUUACAAAAAAAUUUUGAAAACUGCAAGCCUGUUGUAUUGUUAGACCAUAAUAUUGACAAAUAAAGGGAUGUUUUGUUGGAUUUUUAUGCUGCAUCAAGGCAGUUUACAACUGUUAGUGUUGGACCAUGCUGCACCAUAAUGUUGCCAACUGAAAGUAUGGUUUAGUAUAUGUAGGGCUGCAACUAACGAUUGUUUUAAAAAAAAUAUUAUUAUUAUUAUUAUUAUCUGUCGAUUAUUUUUUCUAUUAGUCGAUUAGGUGUUUGGGCUUUGGGAAACUGAUUGACAUUUUUGACCAUUUUCUGACAUUUUAUACACCAAGGUGCAACCUAAAGUGUUUUAUUUUGUCCCGACCAACAGUCCAAAGAUAUUCAGUUUACUGUCAUAGAGGACUAAAUAAACCAGAAAAUAUUCACAUUUAAGAAACUGGAACCAGAGAAUUUUAGCAUUUUUUCUUUUUGACUCAAAACGAUCGAUUCAUCAAAAUAGUUGGCAAUUAAUUUUCUGUCAUUGAUUAAUCGACUGAUAGUGCAGCUCUAAUUAUAUGUGUUACACUUAUGGUGCCAAAAAUGUUACUCUAUUGUUUUUUUGGACCAAGUGCACCAAAAUGUUAACUGAAUAAGUGCUGUGUUGGUAACAAAAAUGUG